GUCCACGCCGUAAACGUUGGGCGCUAGGUGUGGGGGCCAUUCCACGGUCUCCGUGCCGCAGCUAACGCAUUAAGCGCCCCGCCUGGGGAGUACGGCCGCAAGGCUAAAACUCAAAGGAAUUGACGGGGGCCCGCACAAGCGGCGGAGCAUGUUGCUUAAUUCGAUGCAACGCGAAGAACCUUACCUAGGCUUGACAUGCACGGAAAUCUGUCAGAGAUGGCAGGUCCUUUAAAGGGUCGUGCACAGGUGGUGCAUGGUUGUCGU
rnacentral:rRNA from 1 species